UACGUAGGGGGCUAGCGUUGUCCGGAAUCAUUGGGCGUAAAGCGCGCGUAGGCGGCCCAGUAAGUCCGCUGUAAAAGUCAAAGGCUCAACCUUUGAAUGUCAGUGGAUACUGCCGGGCUAGAGUCCGGAAGAGGCGAGUGGAACUCCUGGUGUAGCGGUGGAAUGCGCAGAUAUCAGGAAGAACACCAACGGCGAAGGCAGCUCGCUGGGACGGUACUGACGCUGAGACGCGAAAGCGUGGGGGAGCAAACAGG
rnacentral:rRNA from 1 species